UUUCCUUUGCUAUUAUAUAUGAUUAUGAGAUUAUCUACAUUACUCUUUUGUAACACAACAACUCUUAAUGUGUAUGUAAAUGUAUGUAUCUGAGUUUAAUGAGAGUAAAUAAAGUUACUGAGGAUGUUGGACCAUGAGGGGGACAAAAGUGAAAGUCUAUGAUGGGAGGAAAAGAGAGAGAUCAACUAAUAAUAACAUUACGAAGAAAAAAAAAGAAAAAAACAGGAAACUCUGCUACCUAUAUGAACACACAGUAGUAUAUACAUGAAUGUAAACAAUGUAUGUGCAGUUUUCGGAAUCUGACUUCCCUCUUUUUCGGACGAAAGCAGAUGUUUCAUUCUGCUUCAUGUCUUAUUAGCCAAACCCAAUAAAGUAAGUAUUUUCUUGCCUGCGUUACUUCCCCUUCUCUUUUUCUUUUCUUGAUCCUUGGGAUUUGCUCUCUUUUACACCCUUUUUCGGUUUUUGCCCCAAUAUUCUUCUUUUCUUACUGUUUUUACCCUCUAAAACCCUUCGACCCCCUAUAGAUUCUAUAACCCGUAGACCAAAACGACGGUAGGGUACACGAAAACAAAUUCGCAGUUUGGUUAAAGCUUGAUGAAACACGAGACUUUGAUUCCUGUGUAAUACACAGUUUGUUUCAGAACGCCCAUAGCUUUUGAGAACAAUUAAAUUGAGUCGAUAUAACUAUUUUACAUCAUGUAACAAAAAAACAAAAAUAAAAACGUUUUCCAUCAUCACCUAACUUUCAUGCUCGCUGUUACUCGUUAGUCGUCGUUACCAACCAAUUUUAUGGUUUUAACUUUUUUAGGUUGGAAUAGUACUAUAUAGAAAUACAAUAAUUGCAAGAUAUUUUAAUUAUUCUCCGCUUAUAUAGUUUUGUAUGAAACAUCCCAAUAGUGGGUAAGUUAAUGUGAAUUUUGUCAGAUUAUGAAGUCUGUUUUCUGGUUAGGAGAGAUCAUCUCUCAUUGUGAUAGGAGGAAGUAGUUGUUGAUCGAUGCUUUGGCCGUGGGCUAUAUUGGUACAACUCAUUCGCAGAAACUUCAGAAGAUGUUCGAUUUGUUUGUUUAGAUAUAGUGUUUGUCUUCGUUAUUAUUGGUAUUUUGCCUCUAUUCUUAGUUGUUGGGUUCGGUCUAUUUCCUUUUUGGCCUUCAAAUUCUCUAUUUAGUAGUUUAAGUUGUUUCCGAUGAUUUAUCCAUUGUUCGUCGGCUUUAGACUCUUUCUUUUGGGCUUUAGAUUCCGGGGAUAUCUUUGUUUUCCGCCGACUUAAGAUUUAUUUCACGAUGUAUCCUUUAAGUUUAAUAAAUAACAUGAGAUGACAAAAAAAAAAAAAGAUAAAAAACCAAAACGAAAAAUAAAAUAAAACAACAAAGAACCACUAAAAUCACCAUCUUAUCAUCAACAAGAAUGAGUCAUUUGGAAAAGAGAUAUUUUUAGUGAUUUGUCACUUAUGUGGUAUGUAAGGGUAGGUGUCCUUGCAAGUGAGGGUAUAUAUGUCUAUUACACACAUAUGUACACUCAUAUAGAUUCAAAAGUUGAUGCAUUUGUACCUAAUUCCAAACAAUACAAAGCUCUCUUUAAUAAUUAUAUAUAUAGAGACAUUGAUAGAUACCAUGUACAUGUUAUAUUUAUUAUGUACUCAAAAGUUUGUGACCCAAUUUUGGAUAUGCAGUCCAAAGCUUCCAGCUGUGGACAUCCUUACAAUAUUCUUUCAGUUGUUUAUGACUUCAUCCUACGAGGUGUGAGCAUGACUUUAAGCAACAAUAGUUUUUGCAAACCACUCACGGAUUAAACACCAUGUUGAAGCCCAAAGCGCACAUGAUGCAACACGUACGAAUCGAGUUUCUUUGCAAUAGAAAUCGUCUAUAUAUGAACACAUUGACUUUAGAUGAAUCUAUGCCAUGUCAAUUACCAUUUUAUCUUGUUAAUUUAACCAUAUUAUUUUUCCAUAAGUUAUAUUUGUAAUCCAGAGUUAUAUUUGUAAAAAUAAUGCAAUAAUAAAUAGAUAGACAUCAAAACCUA